UCUCCGUUGGUGAACCCGCGGAGGGAUCAUUACAGGACUCGCAAGACUCCUUUAUCCUGUGAACCGCACGACAAGCACGUUGCUUCGGCGGGUGUCCCGGCGGGGGUUUUCCCUCGCCGGGGCGCACAGCCCGCCGGCAGCCUACUAUACUCUGUCUCUUUGCGUUGGCAUCUCGAGAAAAAACAAACAAGUUGAAACUUUCAACAACGGAUCUCUUGGUUCUG
rnacentral:misc_RNA from 1 species